GAUGAACGCUAGCGGCAGGCCUAACACAUGCAAGUCGAGGGGCAGCACAUAAAGUGGUUUACUACUUUUGGUGGCGACCGGCGGACGGGUGCGUAACGCGUAUGCAACCUGCCUCCAACAGGGGGAUAACGGAGAGAAAUUUCCACUAAUACCCCAUAAUAUCAGAAUCGGCAUCGGUUUUGGUUGAAAACUCCGGUGGUUGGAGAUGGGCAUGCGUUGUAUUAGAUAGUUGGUGAGGUAACGGCUCACCAAGUCAACGAUACAUAGGGGGACUGGGAGGUUAGCCCACCAGACGGGUACUGAGGCACGGACCAGAACACGACGGGAGGCAGCAGUGAGGAAUAUUGGGCAAUGGGGGCAACCCUGAACCAGCCAUGCCGCGUGCAGGAAGACGGCUCUAUGAGUUGUAAACUGCUUUUACAAGGGGAUAAAUCGGUGUACGUGUACACCGUUGAAGGUACCUUGGGAAUAAGGAUCGGCUAACUCCGUGCCAGCCGCCGCCGUAA
rnacentral:rRNA from 1 species